GAGGUCAACCCCUUUAACCAGUGCCGUCUCCAGGGUGACGGUGAACUCGUUGAGUGUAUGUAGGAUGCGAGACAGGGAGUGUACCGCUGCACGGUCCCGCAGCAGAGCACCGUCCUCGUACGUCCGCGCUGUCAGAGGACACUCUGCCAUCAGGGGGAGCCACUGCGAGAGGAGCCGGUCCCUGUCGAGGAGCAGGUCAGUUAUGGUCCCAUUAGUGGUUGAUGAAGGGUUGGUGUCAACAAUAACUACCUAGAUAAUUCUACUUAGUCUAAUAACAGUUUACCAUAAAAAAAAUUCUACUUUGACACUUCAGCCGUCUCUACCACUGAAGAUUUGAUUUAAGCCUCAGUCUUUAUUGAUUCUGACUGUUUGUGUGCAGACACAGUGGUGUCACCUAAUUUCACAGUUAUUGAACUGAAUUCCUCUUGUUCCACCUAAAAUACAGUGAAGCUAAAUAUCACAAAGUGCAUUAUGACUGCUUUGCUUUGCUAGUAAAUCAUUUCAGACAGCCACCAGGGCUUUUGUGACAUGGGCACUUGGUGUAUAUAUAUAUAUAUAUAUAUAUAUACAUAUUUCUUAGACUUAUUUAAUUUGACUUCUUAUAAUAGGACAAAUUCCUCGUAUCACCAUUUCUUACUUGAGUUUUAAAACCAUCAUUUCAAAAGUGAUGAAAUCUCACCUGAUUCCCAGGCAGACGAACAGCUGGAACUUGCCCUCUUUUCCGAUGUUUCGUGGCGAUGCAUUGAUGGCCUUGACGUAGCGGCAAAGUGAGUCACAAGGUGUACCCUUUGUCAGUGUUGAGCCGUGCAGGUCAUCCAUCUGAUCCGCUGUCUCCAUGGAAACCACUGCCUUCUCUGUGGGAAGGAGUGGUUCAUGACGUCAGUGCAUAACUAUAUAUAAUAAUAAUAAUAAUAUACUGACAGCCAUGUAAAAUGAGGCCAUAAAAACAAACACUAGAGAUGAAUAUAUCUCCAGUGAACAUUAAUAAAACAUAUCAAUCAUGUUUUGUUGUUCGCAAGUAGUAUGAAACUUAUAUUCACUGCCACUAGAUGGAGACAGGAGUCAGACAUCCGUGAGAGGUAAACAUCACUUUAAAUGUUUAAAGGAUGAUCUUGAUGGACUUGCGCUCACAGUACCUACCGACAAAGUCCCAAACAAACACGUUCCGCUGGAAAAGACGGUUGGAUUUGAAUCCGUGGAGGAGGAAAUUCUCCAAGGACAGCACCAGCCCUCCUUCACCGCAUAACAAGACUGUCAAGUUUCCCCUCUGGGGAUGACAGAAAUGAGAACAGAGAGUUAACAGAGGCCCAAGAGUGCAUCCCUGAAAAGAAAAAUGAAGGACAGUCACAGAGAGAAACAUGAGGAUGAAUGUUGACAAUCUCGAGCGGAAGAGAGCAGGGGCUAAACAGAAAGUACGUACUGCUACGGCUGCCAAGGGAUCCCAGCACUGCCCGUACGCUCUGAGAAGGAGAAGCCAGCUCUGGAGGCGUCCCUGUCCACCUUCCAGCAUCCUCCUCUCCACCAGGUGCAACCAGCUGACCAAUGAGAACUCUUUCCAAGCUGCCAUCACCCACACCUUUCCCCAGCCACCGGCCGCACGGGAACCUGACAGGAAGGAGGACAAAGAGCUUCAUUAUAUUCAAAAUUAAAAAAAUAAAUAAAUCAACAAUUCAUUAUACAAGGACAUAGUGUAGUGUGCUAAGAGUUCUAAAUAACAUGAAGAAGUUGAACGAUAAAAGGCUUUAACAUGAUGAAUGUUUCUUCAUAUUCACAAAGCCCACAGACUCUAAUUGUCUUUCAUUUUGUAAUAUUACAAGAAUUAAAUGUAAUUUUAGGAUACAUGUCACAUUAGUGGAGGAAUAUCAGAAGAUCAGCCUGUGGCCUAAGUUAAAACGAGGAAUGAGGAGCAUCUUGUUAAAUUAUGCUUUCAUGUAAGUUUCACAAAUAAUGACAUACUUAAAAUUUUAGGAAAUUUACAAUCAUAAGUAUCAGGACUUUGAAAAGAUUGUGCAAGAAACUGUGUCUAUACCAAAGGAGGUAAAUAGCAACUUUUUUUGAAGG